rnacentral:tRNA from 1 species
ACCUGCAUAGCUCAGUCGGUAGAGCAUCAGACUUUCUAAAACACAUUCCAAAAGUGAUCUGAGGGUCACGGGUUCGAAUCCCUUCGCGAGCG